rnacentral:rRNA from 1 species
GUGAGGAAUUUUCCGCAAUGGGCGAAAGCCUGACGGAGCAAUGCCGCGUGAAGGAUGAAGGCCUAUGGGUUGUAAACUUCUUUUCUCAGAAAAGAAUUAUGACGGUAUCUGAGGAAUAAGCAUCGGCUAACUCUGUGCCAGCAGCCGCGGUAAGACAGAGGAUGCAAGCGUUAUCCGGAAUGAUUGGGCGUAAAGCGUCUGUAGGUUGUUUAAAAAGUAUUCUGUCAAAGAUCAGGGCUUAACCCUAGAUAGGCAGAAUAAACUUUUAAGCUAGAGUUUGGUAGAGGCAGAGGGAAUUCCCGGUGGAGCGGUGAAAUGCGUAGAUAUCGGGAGGAACACCAAAGGCGAAGGCACUCUGCUGGGCUAAUACUAACACUGAGAGACGAAGGCGAGGGGAGCAAAUGGGAUUAGAAACCCGUGUAGUCC